AUUGAACGCUGGCGGCAGGCCUAACACAUGCAAGUCGAGCGGAUGAAGGGAGCUUGCUCCUGGAUUCAGCGGCGGACGGGUGAGUAAUGCCUAGGAAUCUGCCUGGUAGUGGGGGAUAACGUCCGGAAACGGGCGCUAAUACCGCAUACGUCCUGAGGGAGAAAGUGGGGGAUCUUCGGACCUCACGCUAUCAGAUGAGCCUAGGUCGGAUUAGCUAGUUGGUGGGGUAAAGGCCUACCAAGGCGACGAUCCGUAACUGGUCUGAGGGGAUGAUCAGUCAAACGGGAAAUGAGAAACGGUCAAGACUCCCACGGGGGGGAGGAGGGGGGAAUUUUGGAAACGGGGGGAAACCCUGAACCAGCCAUGCCGGGGGGGUGAAGAAGGUCUUCGGAUUGUAAAGCCCUUUAAGUUGGGAGGAAGGGAAGUAAGUUAAAACCUUGCUGUUUGGACUUGAAAAAAAGAAAAAGCACCGGCUAACUUCGG
rnacentral:rRNA from 1 species